UUAAGAAUCUACAAAAACUCCUAGAACUAAUGAGACCCUCCAUCUCCAAUGAAGUUUACAGAGUUCAGUGUUGGAAACCAUUCUGAUCUUCAAAAUAAGUCACCACGGCAGAUUGAAACUUUUCAAUUUGAAAGCAUCCCAUCAAAUACUUGCUGUGCAGAUAGAUGUUUCAGAACUUAUAAGUUAUCUAAUUUACUAGCUGAACUCAUCAAUCUGGUAGCAAUUAAUUCAAGCCAGUCUUCCUCUACUUCUUUCUUCAAUUCCUCUCCUCCCCUCAGUGAAAGCCUAAAAGUACAUAUUUAUCUUUCCAGAGGCUCUUUUUAUUCCUCUUGUCAGGUAAAGGGGAACUCAAAAGACUCCCUUGGAGUCUUUAACUCCCCUAGAAAGACCGUUAAUCAUAUCUAUAGGUCUUUGUUUUGUUGAGGGGAAUCAGACAAGUUUGCUGCUUGUGCACAUGUGCAUUUAUAAGCAUACAUAUGUGCAACAUAUUUACACAAAAUUCUGCUGCUGUGUUGUGAAAAUUGAGGUUUAAAAAAACUGAAGUUUUUUAUUCAAUCAUAUCUUUUUCCUAAAUAGCAAUCUAAAUAUUUGCUGAGCUGUGAACACCUUUUCCUAUAUCAGGUACCUAAAAUUUAAGAGGGAGAUUCAACACUGUGAUCAAGGUCUGUGAAUUGGGAAUUGAACAAUGUAAAACCUGUUCUCUGUCAUAGAUGUGUGGUGUUCCUGAAAGCACCACAGCUAAUAGAGACCAGAUCAGAUUUCCAUUUUAUUUAACAUAACGAUUAGAGUUUUCAAGACUUUUAAUGCCAGAGUGUGGGAAAAUUCUCCAAUAACUUUUAUUCUUUUCUCUGCUACCUAGCUUUAUUUAAACCUUCACAAAUUACUCUUACGAUGAAAGAAAAACUAUAAGCUCAAGUUAUGGACCAUUGGUUUUGUUAAGGGGUUUAAGGAUGAUUUUCUGGUUUAAUUACAAUACUGUUAACAAGGACAAAAUUUCAUAUUUGAAAUUAGCUUAAGGAUUAGCACUAAAGAUUUUCUUUCACAACAGGAAUUAGUGUACAAAUAGUGAAAAAUCCAAUAGUAAUAUAUCAAUUCUUUCUCUUUUUUUCUUUCCUUCUUUUUUUUGUUUAGUUUCAAUAGUAGUGCAGCCAUUAAGAUAGUUUACAACCAUUUCCCAGCUUAUUUAUAAUAAGCCUUUCUUUUAGUUCUAGUUCCUGAAUCAGUAAGUAUGGACAGUAAUGCUGCUUCUCUAUGAUAAUAAUAAUAUCUAAGAGUAUUGAUGGUUUCCAUUUCUCAGUCAGUGCCAUAGUGCACAGCUGCUAACAAUAGAAGUUCCAACUCUUACAGAGAUCAGUGAGUUAGAGGCACCUUACUGAUAUCAAGUUGUUGAAAUCCUAGAGGGGUUAGGUUUCCUAAAGUAUUCUCUGAAACCUUUUUGAGUAAAAAAGAGUUGCCUGCCACAAACAAUUCAGUGUUCAGGCUCCAGUGGAGCUGUGAAUGUGCAUAGUCCAGCUACUUAAAGCAAUGAAAAACCCGUUCAUUUGAAUUCUCUAGGUAAUUCUGGUCAAGAGAAGACUUUCAGCAUAAAUUAAAUGGAUUGUGGCCAUCAUUUCACCUGAGAGAAUACUAUACAUGACUAAAUCUAUUAGUGCCAGGGGCUGUUUUUCAAACUCCAAUGGCAAGAACCAGCCUAGAAGACUCUACACACUGGGUUUCAUGAUAAAAUCAUAUAUGUUCAGAUGAGAAGAUUUUUCCCCUUUCUCUUCCCCUUCAAAACACUCUCUUGUUUGGGUUUAUCUUGAAAACGUAUUGAUCAUCCACAUGGCAUUGUGUUUGACAAGCCUUGCCUUAUAUUCAUAUAGAAAUGCACCUUUCCUAAAAGUAGGACUGUUGCUUACUCCAAAGCCAGUAGGCCUCAAAGCAAUCUAUCUAGUCCAUCAUCUUCUGCCAAGAGCUUAGGCAGAACAGCUGCUAUCUAUGAUUCAAAUCCAGGAAGGAAUCAAUAACUUAUUUAAUGAAUAGAGUGUAUCAGCACUCAUAGAAAUCAGGUCAUAAAAGACAAUGUCAGGGAACUACAAAAAAGCACUGGAGGGUAAAGCUCAGGAAAGCUGUAAUGCAAAGAUUAUUGUUUAAUGUCUUACGGACACACUGUCUUCAAAAGGCCAAAUAAAGCAGGGUUUUACCUGGGGACUUAGGGAAAUAAAGAAACCCUAUUCCUAUCUCUGAACCUUUAUUCCAUUAGUUUAUAGACUCUGAUACUGUCCUCAUUAUAGGUCAUUGUGUAUUGAUUUCUGUACCUAAACAACGCCCCCCCCCCAGUUGGUUGAUUAUUUAUAAAGAAAGCAAAGAGGUUUGUUUGAUAAUUAGCAUACCCUGAUCUGGCUCCUUUGCUUGCUUUUCCUUGGGGCCAUUUCCAAUAACUUCUGUGGGAUCUCAUCCUCCAGUCUUUAGUAGCCAUCUUCCCCAUUUGCAAAACAAAGAUGCUCAUUGUUAGGCAUACAGGUGAAAGGUGCUAUGUAAUUCUCCAGUGCUCUUAUAUAUCCUUCAUUGCAGGGGUAGAAUUAAAAGUUUAACCAGAACAGUAUUUCUAAACAAAUCAGUGUGCUCGAUUCUUUCUUCCUUGCUCUCGUUGAUGAUUUGUUCUUGCAGAGCUUACUAUUCAUUCUAACAAUGUCCUUGGAAAGAGGCAGAAUAGAAAUUAUUUUCCCCAUGGUACAAACCUGAAAAAUUAAGGGCAAAAGAAAUGAAGCACCCUCCAAAAGCACAUAGCUGUCUGGGACAGAACUCACAGUUGCCGCGUCCAGUGCACUGUUAAAGUGACUUGGCUUCCCAGUACUGGAAUAAACAUGGAGUAGCUUAGAACAUUGAGAGCAACUAAAGCAGGACCAUUUCUGAAGAGUCUUUCAAAAAUCUGAAAGUAUGCAGUUUAUACAAUUCUUAUUUUCUAUAUGAUAUAAAUGUAUUUUGUGCCUCUUUCCCCUUCUGGCCCCAUAUGACACAUUUAUUUCACACUACGUGGCAUCAGCCCAGGUCAUUUUGCCCUCUGGCACUCAUAGAGCCCAUUUUCAGGCCUGUCUUUUCCAGAGAAAAGAAAGUGCUAUGUGCUUCCUCAUGUUUAUGCCAAAUUACACAAAGUGUAGAUAUUGAGAUUAAUGAAGAUUUAAGCACAAUCCAAGUAAGUAUAAGAAUAUUGACUAUACAUUAUUUAAAUGUGCAUCUGAAAUUUAAUGUGGCCCAAAUUCAUAAGAAUAACAGUCAUGCAAAGCCUAUCCCUUUCACAUAUCAUCACAUACAUAUAUAUCUAUACAUAUUUGCACACUCACAGUGCCCCCAAAGCAGGCUGCCUGGUCAUUAGGAGCAGAUACUUUAAAGGAAUGAGUCUCUGUCCUCUUUCUUUACAAAAAAGUCCAACAGUCACUGCAAGUGAAGAAUAUUCCAUUCAUACAUUCUAGAACUUCUGCUCCUGGAGUAAUUAAGGUACUCAGUUGGCACCAAAGACCUGUUCUGUGCCUCUAUCAAUCACCAAAGGCACAUGACAAGAUUGUUAGACCUUUCCACAAGUCUCAUGUUCUUAGAAAAUUCAUGAAUUCCAUCCAAUCAGUAGAAAAUUGUUUAUGAGUUAUAGUACAUCUGCAUUUUUUUAACCAGAGCUGUAAUGUACCAUAUUAAAUUGUAGUCUUUUGCAUGCAGGUAUUAUGUAAUAUAAUAAUGAAUGGAUGGCUCCUAAUAGCAUGCAACCCAUGACUGUUUACUUCCCUAAAAGGGCUAGGGCUGUGUCCCACACAGUGUCCAAAACUAUUAAAUGCAUUCUAUGUAACAGCCUGAUAUAUGGGCCAUCAGCAGAUUGAGUUAGACAUGUAAUGUAUUAGGAAAUAGACUCUUAGUAGGGUAUGGUGUUAAAGGGGAAAAAAAAAAAACAGUAAGAUAAGAUGCAUUUAAGAAAUAAUGACUGUCAUCCUGCUGGCUAAAUCAACAAAGGGAUACAACAGGAAAGCUGGUCCUGGGUCUUGGUAAUAUAUGAAAUGGAUUGGAGAGCCAGAAAAAGAAAAGCACUGGGGACUUCAGCAGUUAAGCUCAAGUUGCCAAUUUGCUACAAAUCCUUUUUUCCACCAAUCUGCUCAAGGUAAUUAUAUAUAAUAUUCUUUAAACUAUGUGUCUUGCUACAGAAAUACCCAGAAAUACUGACCAGCUUUAUCUUCCUAAGUCCUUUAUUAAAAGCAUAUACAUAAAAUUAUCACUUCUUUUGUAUAUUAUGGUGUUGUUAAAGUGGUGGCAAAACUGAAAAUUUCAAACCACUUUGAUGGAAGUUUCUGUACUUCUCAUUUCAUGGAUGUAAUAGAUUUUAUUCACUCCCAAGUUGAUUGGUAUGUGUGUGUCGACUUUAAAAAAAAAUGCACAAUGUGAGAGUCAUGAGUUAAGUUUUAUUUGGGGGUAAAAUGAGGAUUGCAUCCCGGGAGACAGUACUUCAGUACUACAGUACUGCCCCAGAGGCAGCAGGGAGGUCAGUAUGUGUGUGAUUUUGGUAAUGGGGGAAUAUAUGCAAUCAAG
rnacentral:lncRNA from 1 species